rnacentral:rRNA from 1 species
AGAGUUUGAUCCUGGCUCAGGACGAACGCUGGCGGCGUGCUUAACACAUGCAAGUCGAACGGGAAGGCCCUUCGGGGUACUCGAGUGGCGAACGGGUGAGUAACACGUGGGUGAUCUGCCCUGCACUUUGGGAUAAGCCUGGGAAACUGGGUCUAAUACCGGAUAGGACUACGCGAUGCAUGUCGUGUGGUGGAAAGCUUUUGCGGUGUGGGAUGGGCCCGCGGCCUAUCAGCUUGUUGGUGGGGUGAUGGCCUACCAAGGCGACGACGGGUAGCCGGCCUGAGAGGGUGACCGGCCACACUGGGACUGAGAUACGGCCCAGACUCCUACGGGAGGCAGCAGUGGGGAAUAUUGCACAAUGGGCGCAAGCCUGAUGCAGCGACGCCGCGUGAGGGAUGACGGCCUUCGGGUUGUAAACCUCUUUCAGCACAGACGAAGCGCAAGUGACGGUAUGUGCAGAAGAAGGACCGGCCAACUACGUGCCAGCAGCCGCGGUAAUACGUAGGGUCCGAGCGUUGUCCGGAAUUACUGGGCGUAAAGAGCUCGUAGGUGGUUUGUCGCGUUGUUCGUGAAAACUCACAGCUCAACUGUGGGCGUGCGGGCGAUACGGGCAGACUUGAGUACUGCAGGGGAGACUGGAAUUCCUGGUGUAGCGGUGGAAUGCGCAGAUAUCAGGAGGAACACCGGUGGCGAAGGCGGGUCUCUGGGCAGUAACUGACGCUGAGGAGCGAAAGCGUGGGGAGCGAACAGGAUUAGAUACCCUGGUAGUCC